UAUUACAUAUCUAGAAAGUCAGAAGCGUUCUCUCCUUUACAGUUUACCGCUUUAAUAACCUGAGAGGGUUAUCAUGUCAUGGGAGCUGCAUAUUUUAUCUUUAUUCAAAUGGAUGCUCUAACAAGGAUUAGGCAUCAGAAGGGGAAUGACUCUCUUAUUAAGAUCUUUGCAGCCCAGGAUCCUCUUAUACCCAGCACUUGCUGAGUAGUAGUCAUUCUCAACACAGGGCCCAACUUUGUUUUCAACUAGUGGUUGUCCAAUCUGGCUAUAUAAAUGUAAGUUUACUAAAAUUUAAGUCAAAUUAAAAAUUCAGUUUCUUAGUAGCACAAGUUCAGUAACCCCCACAUCUAAUGGCUAAUGUAUGGGACAAUAUUAAUACAGAAUAUUUCCAUCCCUGGAGAAAGCUGCACUGGACAGUGCUGUUCUAGUCCUGGUUUGGCAAGUCACUGUUUUUUCAACAAAAACAGUGUUGAUGGAUAUUCUCCUUUAUAAGUUGCCAAGAAAUGUGCUGUACUCAGUAUUUUGAUUAUUUUUGUUGUUGUUUGGUUGAGGGUAAUAAUCAGAUAGUUUGGGGUGGAGGAAAUAUUUAGGUUGAGAAAAACCUCAAUAGAAUCUGAAUCCCAAGUUCCACAACAAGAUGGAUACUCAAAAAUGAACUCUAAUGUCAGGAUUUCCCACAGGUUUACUGAGGAGAAGCUAUUUAGUUUCUUCAAAUCCCAGUAAUCAUAUUCAUUGGGAAGAUAAGGAUGCUGCCUGCUAGGUUUUCGAGGAGAACUAGGGAGGGAUACUGCUAAACACUUGAUUUUACUUUCCACUAGGAAUUCUGAACAAUUGCAGAGAAAGGGUAAGAAAGAAGUCGGACAGCAACUGACUUAGAGAACUUACCAGGUCCAGAAAUGCAAGACACGAUUCUCCCUCUGUAAGAGCUCACUCAAGAUGGCUGGAGGCAGAGGAGGUAAACGCUCGUCACAGAAAGGCUCUGAUCAAACCAUCAACUCCCUUGGCCCUACCACCCACGCUGCAGGAGGCACUGUUGGCCCACUGGUACUGGUUUGGCCAUGGGUUUAUUGUGGCCAGAGAGGUGUUAGAGAAUGUGACAGAGACGAAGACGUGAAAUACUCUUGCACAGUGCACUUUCGCCUCUGCAUGCCUGUACCCAGAGUAGAUGCUGGUCAAGGAAGAUGAGAGACAAAGCAGCAGAUCUGGAUGCAGCACGCAAGCUGGGACUCUAGCUCAACUGAAUCCCACAUAGUUAAACAAAAAAUGAAUGCAUAUUGUUUAUACUACCAA